GGCCUAAACUCGUAGCUUGCUCCGAGCAUGGUUAUAAACCCAAUCAAGGUAAAAACCCCGUCGUCAGGGUUCCUUGAUUGGUCGUGCACCGAAAGGUGUGCGUUCGACCCGAAAGGGUUGA
rnacentral:sRNA from 12 species